rnacentral:rRNA from 1 species
AUGGGAAAGAGCAAUCCAAGUCGCUCCCGUUCCGCCUCGCCGGUGAAGACCGGGGCUGGGGCGAAGAAGGACGGAAAGGGCACCAGCGGCGGCGGCGACGGCACGCCCGCGCCCCUGCUGGGCGACGGCUCAGGGAGGUCGUCCGGCUGUGAGCUAGAGAUGCCACGGCCGCUCCGCGAGGCGACUGGAUCCACCUCCUACCCUCCCCUGACGAGGACGAACUACGCGGAGUGGUCGCUCCUGAUGAAGGUAAUCCUGCAGGCGAGAGGCCUGUGGACCGUCAUCGAGAUCGGCCCGUGUCCUGACGACGACGCCGAUUAUCGUGACGACCGCCUGGCGCUAGAGGCAAUCCUCCGGGCCGUACCGCCGGAGAUGCUGGUGAUGCUUGCCGUGAAGGAGACGGCGAAAGAGGCGUGGGACUCCAUCAAGACGAUCCGUCUUGGAGUCGACCGCGUACGCAAGGCGAAGGCGCAGUCCCUCCGCCGCGAGUUCGACGACAUCCGUUUCAAGGACGGGGAGACCGUCGACGAGUUUGCCCUUCGACUCACCGGUAUGAUGAAUAACCUAGCUCUUCUUGGUGAUGAUCUGAAGGAAGAAAGGGCCGUGGAGAAAUUUCUCCGGGUCGUCCCGCCGCGCUAUGCACAGGUGGCUCUCUCCAUAGAGACGCUGCUUGACCUGUCGGAGCUCACGGUCGAGGAACUCACCGGCCGGCUGAAAGCGGCGGAGGAACGCUACGGGCUAGACGGGGUCGCCCACGGCGGGAGCAGCCUGCUGUUCACUCACGAGGAGUGGAUGGCGCGCCAGCAGAAGAUCGACCAGGCCGGAGCCACCGGGGGCAGCAGCAACCAAGCUGCCGGCGGCGGCGGACGCCGCGGUGGCGGCGGUGGCGGACGCUCGCGCGGUCGCGGAGGUAGCCGAGGCGGGCGGGGGAACCAGAGCUCUUCUGGCAGCGCCGCCCGCAAGAACGACAAGUGCCGCUACUGCAACAACCUGGGCCACUGGGCCCGGGAAUGCCGGAAGAAGAAGCGCGACGAGGAGGCGAACCUCGCCGACGCUGACGAGGAUGAGCCGGGCCUUCUGAUGGCCCAGGCCUGCACUCUGGACGAGGGGAGCACGGCAGGGCCGGAGCUGAACCUGACUGCGCCCCAGACAUCCCUCACGACCGCGGCGGCGCAGGUGUUCCUCAACGAGGAGCGCGCGCGCGUGGAACUGCAGCAGUCUCCUGGCGACACCGAUGCCGCCUGGUACCUCGACACUGGGGCAUCGAACCACAUGACCGGCGACGUGUCGGCGUUCGCGGACCUGGACGAGUCCGUGACGGGAUCGGUCAAGUUCGGCGACGGGUCUCUAGUGGACAUACGCGGGCGGGGCACGGUGCUGUUCGCCGUGGCAGGCGGUCACCACCGUGGCCUCACCAAUGUCUACUGGAUACCUCGCCUCAAGAGCAACAUCAUCAGCAUCGGCCAACUAGACGAGGUCGGUUGCGCGACGCUGGUGGAGCAUGGUGUCAUGACAGUCCGCGAUCGCCAGAAGAAUCUGCUCGCCAAGGUAACUCGUUCGGCCAAGCGCCUCUAUGUGCUGCAUCUCAAGAUUGUGAAGCCGGCGUGUCUCGCGGCGAGCGAGUGCGACGGUGCAGGCUGGCGCUGGCACGAGAGAUUCGGCCACGUCCACUUUCAGGGACUCGAGAGGAUGGCGCGCACUGGCAUGGUCACCGGCCUUCCCCUCAUCGUCCACGCGGAGCACAUUUGCGAGGCUUGCCUGGCUGGCAAGCAGAGGCGGGCCUCGUUCCCUCAGGUCGCCAAGUUCCGCGCGACGGAACCUCUGGAGCUGGUCCACGGCGACAUCUGCGGGCCGAUCUCGCCGGCGACGCCGGGCGGGAAGCGCUACUUCCUCUUGCUAGUGGACGACCACAGCCGUUACACUUGGCUCGUCUUGCUGCGCUCCAAGGACGAGGCGGCCGAGGCGAUCCGCCGGUUCAAGGCCGCCGCGGAGACCGAGUCGCGCCGCUCCCUGCGCACGUUCUGCACAGAUCGCGGGGGCGAAUUCACGAGCACGGCGUUCGCGGAGUACUGCGCUGACCACGGCGUGCAGCGCCACCUGACGGCGCCCUACUCCCCGCAGCAAAACGGAGUGGUGGAGCGCCGCAACCUGACCGUUGUGGGCAUGGCGAGGUGCAUGCUCAAGGCCAGGGGUGUGCCGGCUUCCUUCUGGGGUGAGGCUGUCACCACUGCCGUGUUUCUGAUGAACAGGUCGUACACAAGGAGCCUGACUGGGAAGACGCCAUUUGAGGCGUGGCAUGGUCGCAAACCCAACGUGCACUUCCUGCGCGUCUUCGGGUGCGUGGCUCACGUCAAGGACACGCGCCCGCACCUGGCGAAACUGGCGGACAGGAGCAAGGCGAUGGUUUUCAUCGGGUAUGAGCCGGGAGGCAAGGCCUACCGGGCGUACGACCCCGCCACUAAGCGCGUGCACGUCACGCGCGACGUCGUCUUCGAUGAGCGAGCAAGCUGGGACUGGCAACGGGGCGGGGACGCUCCCGGCGCGGCGACGUUCACUGUCGAGUACGGGCCGUCUGCUGUGCUUGAGGGGGUGCGUCACUCUGCGCCGGCGACGCCGGCCCCUCCACCACACGCCAGCACUGUCGAGGACGCAACUGCAGCAGGAGCCGACGCGCCCACUCCGUUCACUCCCGCGAGCACCGGCAGGAGGGACCUCAAUCCUGAGCUCAGCCCUGCCAUGUCACGUUCUCCGCCAAGCGCUUCGCCGACUCCGAUCGAGUCGCCACCAGCUGACCACGCGGGCGUGCACCUGAUGGUGACGCGUGCACGGGACGGCAUCGUGCAGCCGAACCAACAGCUCACGGACUACAUCCUCAACCUCGACGACCUCGACGACGAGGAGCUGCACCUCGGGCUGGCAGAGGAGCCGGCCUCUCUGGAUGAGGCGCAAGGAGAUGCAGCCUGGAAGCGCGCUAUGGACGAGGAAAUGGCGUCUAUCCAGGAGAAUCGCACCUGGCAUCUCGCUGAUCUCCCUCCUGGUCACCGCCCCAUUGGUCUCAAAUGGGUCUACAAGGUGAAACGUGACGCCCAGGGCGCGGUGGUGCGGCACAAGGCCCGCCUCGUCGCCAAAGGGUUCGUGUAG